GAAAAAGGAAGGCUUUGUCAACUUUUGUGAGAAUCUAUCUCCAAAUACUAGUGCAAAAGAAGUUUGGAGCAGUAUUAGAAGGUUUGCUAAAGGUCGGAAGAGCAAGAGUCCCGGUGUGGAUAAAGUACCUUUCAGUGUGCUCAGCCAUCUCCCUGUUGAAGGAGCAGUCUUUCUUAUCAAAUUUUUCAACAAAAUACUUCGGAGGGAAACCACCAUUCCAGAGACGUGGAAAACCCAAAUGGUGAUCGCAAUUCCUAAACCGGGGAGAGACCCCUCAGCGUUAUCGUCCUACAGGCCCAUCAACCUAGCUUCUUGCAUAAGCAAAACUUUUGAAAUUAUGAUCAAAAACCGACUGGAAUGGUUCGUAGAGAACCAAGGUUUAAUAGACGUUCGCCAAACUGGUUUCAGAAAGGGAAGAAUUACAAGGUUAAUUAUCUCCCCAGACUUCACCUCAACACUCGAACCAUUGCAUGGAGAAAUUCCAUCACAUAUCUAGGAGUGACU